rnacentral:ncRNA from 1 species
CAUUAAUUUUUAAUCUUGCCAAAGUUUAUAAAAAAAAAGUAUUGAGCCCAAAUAAAACUGGAUGAAUUGCAGGGAAAACUAAUUGUUAGUUUAUCUGCAGCGAAGUUAUUCUCAAUGCCCUUCUAAUCUUAAUUCUAAUUAGAUUAAGCAUAGAUUGUAGAGAAUAAAACGUUCAACGACUACUUGGUGAGCUGCAUUAGCAAUAAUCCGAUAUAAAGUGUCCAGCAAUAAAUUACAUUGUAAUAGUGUAAUUUAUUGAAGAAAUAGUCUAAUCAAUGAUGUAAAUCAUUG